rnacentral:rRNA from 1 species
GAUGAACGCUGGCGGCGUGCCUAAUACAUGCAAGUCGAGCGAACAGACGAGGAGCUUGCUCCUCUGACGUUAGCGGCGGACGGGUGAGUAACACGUGGAUAACCUACCUAUAAGACUGGGAUAACUUCGGGAAACCGGAGCUAAUACCGGAUAAUAUAUUGAACCGCAUGGUUCAAUAGUGAAAGACGGUUUUGCUGUCACUUAUAGAUGGAUCCGCGCCGCAUUUGUUAGUUGGUAAGGUAACGGCUUACCAAGGCAACGAUGCGUAGCCGACCUGAGAGGGUGUUCGGCCACACUGGAACUGAGACACGGUCCAGACUCCUACGGGAGGCAGCAGUAGGGAAUCUUCCGAAAUGGGAAAGCCUGACGGAGCAACGCCGCGUGAGUGAUGAAGGUCUUCGGAUCGUAAAACUCUGUUAUUAGGGAAGAACAAAUGUGUAAGUAACUAUGCACGUCUUGACGGUACCUAAUCAGAAAGCCACGGCUAACUACGUG